GGGCCUCAGUGUCUGAAUGGUUCCAGUUCAGCUCCAUAACAGCAGCAUCCCUGGUUUGAUUCCUGUGUUUCAGCUCAUAUCUGCCUCUCUCACUGAGGGGGACGUCCACUACAUGGAAAGGAAAUAGUUCUUACCCCUUGUUUGAACCAAUAGAAAGCUGGUGCUCAGAGGAAGAGGGCGGGCUUUACUUGGUGUCAGUGAGAGAAAUGAAAAAAAGCUCAAAUGAGUGAGAAGGACGAUGAAGGAAACAUCUGUGCUGUGUCUGCUCUUUCUGAUCUCACUGCUGAGCUGCACAACAAACCAAGGUCAGUAACCUUCUUCUGUCACAGUUUAAACCUGAGAAAUGCUCACUGAUAUGACCUGAUUGGGUUCAUGUUUCACAAUGUAAAGUCUAACAGAUCAUCAGUCUUUCAUUUAAAACCCUCACAGCUCGUCUGACUGUGAGUCCCAGCAGCUCUCAGUUCUUCAAAGGAGACUUUGUGUCUCUGAGCUGUGAGGAGGACGACAGCUCUGCUGGAUGGACUCUGAGGAGAAACACAAGCAAACAACAGAGGACUCAGUGUGGAGACGUGUGGGGAAAACCAGCUGGUUUGACUAAUUCUUCCUGUAAAAUUGAAUACAUGUAUCCAUGGGACAGUGGAGUUUACUGGUGUGAGUCCAGAGAGGGUCCCAUCAGUAACAUGGUUAACCUGACAGUCACUGGUGGAUCAGUGAUCCUGCAGAGUCCUGUCCUCCCUGUGAUGGAGGGAGAUGACGUCACUCU